rnacentral:rRNA from 1 species
UUGAACGCUGGCGGCAGGCCUCACACCUGCCAGUCGAGCGGAUGAAGGGAGCUUGCUCCUGGAUUCAGCGGCGGACGGGUGAGUAAUGCCUAGGAAUCUGCCUGGUAGUGGGGGAUAACGUCCGGAAACGGGCGCUAAUACCGCAUACGUCCUGAGGGAGAAAGUGGGGGAUCUUCGGACCUCACGCUAUCAGAUGAGCCUAGGUCGGAUUAGCUAGUUGGUUGGGUAAAGGCCUACCAAGGCGACGAUCCGUAACUGGUCUGAGAGGAUGAUCAGUCACACUGGAACUGAGACACGGUCCAGACUCCUACGGGAGGCAGCAGUGGGGAAUAUUGGACAAUGGGCGAAAGCCUGAUCCAGCAAUGCCGCGUGUGUGAAGAAGGUCUUCGGAUUGUAAAGCACUUUAAGUUGGGAGGAAGGGCAGUAAGUUAAUACCUUGCUGUUUUGACGUUACCAACAGAAUAAGCACCGGCUAACUUCGUG